GCAGCCCGUGGGCCGUGAUCGAGCCACUUUCUGCCUCAAGGUCUUUUCAUAAUCAUGUUCGGCUUGAAUCCACACUAGUGCAGUAUUUCAUACAGCUUAAGAUAUUUUACCACUGAUCAAAUUAAGUUCAUUUUGCCCUAAAGAAAAUAAGGAUUUGUUCCCCCUUCGUCGAAUUUAAUUCAUUCUUUUGCGUCUAUUUGUAUUAGUCUUAAAUUAUGACUUGAAAUACUAGAAGGUGUGACUUUCUAAAUUGUGUAUAUAAAGUUAAG
rnacentral:lncRNA from 1 species